AUCUUUGUUCUAUUGUGCUUGCUAUUGUGUGGACUGAAACAAGGCUUUUUUUUUUUCUUUUUCUUUAAAGUUUGCUCUUAUAAUUGCUUGACGUGGCUAGAGUUUAGAAAGACACCAAACUAGUUUACCUUUUGGCUAUUCAAACAUUGUUCUUAUCUGAACUUGUAAAGGGAGGGUGCUGGAGCUUUUAGGAGUGGGUAGAGAACUUGCUUUGGACAGGAAAUUAGGUCGGAGAAGAGAAUAAACGAUAAGAAUUGAGUUUGGUUUGGGUAUUGACGAAACUAUGGGGAGAUCAAUAUUUUUGGUUUCUCAACGGAUUUUGAAGGACCUAUUUUGUGGUUAGAGGACCUAUUUUGUACCAGGUGAAAGUCUUACCAAAAGAAGCUACCAACUAGAUUGCAAGCAUGCUGAUAUCACUGGAGGAAA